GACGAACGCUGGCGGCGUGCUUAACACAUGCAAGUCGAACGAAGAGCGACGGAAGCUUGCUUCUAUCAAUCUUAGUGGCGAACGGGUGAGUAACGCGUAAUCAACCUGCCCUUCAGAGGGGGACAACAGUUGGAAACGACUGCUAAUACCGCAUACGAUCUAAUCUCGGCAUCGAGGAUGGAUGAAAGGUGGCCUCUACAUGUAAGCUAUCACUGAAGGAGGGGAUUGCGUCUGAUGAGCUAGUUGGAGGGGUAACGGCCCACCAAGGCGAUGAUCAGUAGCCGGUCUGAGAUGAUGAACGGCCACAUUGGGACUGAGACACGGCCCAGACUCCUACGGGAGGCAGCAGUGGGGAAUCUUCCGCAAUGGACGAAAGUCUGACGGAGCAACGCCGCGUGAGUGAUGACGGCCUUCGGGUUGUAAAGCUCUGUUAAUCGGGACGAAAGGCCUUCUUGCGAAUAGGGAGAAGGAUUGACGGUACCGGAAUAGAAAGCCACGGCUAACUACGUG
rnacentral:rRNA from 1 species